CAGAAGCCUGGCACACAACAAACAUCACUCAAAUUUAAUUCAAGUCUCAGCGAGGGGACAAGCUGGCCAUAGAGGGUAACACACAUGGCUCCCUGUGCAUCCCUCCUGUGCCUUCAAGGGAAAGACCACACUAUUCCUGGAAGACUCUGGAUGAUACUGCUAGAAAGCAAGCUGCCCUACGAAAUUAAUGCUCUCCAUGAUAAACUGGUUGGCGUUUUCUUCAUAUAGAGUCCCUGUGGGGUCUUCUCUCUGGCCUAAAACAGUGACUAACAGUGUUCUACAGUACAUAGGAAAUGCACCAUUUUCAAGAAUAUGCUGAACCUGAAAUAUAGACACAGUUCUGUAUAAAAGAAUGUUGACUGAGAAGACUAUUGGCCCCAUCUCCUAAUCAGCCACAAAUGCAAUGGAUGCAUUAUUCCCGUGCUGCUGUCAUCUUCAUCCAAUCACCUUCACCGACUAUUACCCAAGUCUUCCUCACACGAACCCUUUGGGAGACGCUUCAUAUACAAGUCAUAGCACGGUUGAUUUGUGCGGACAACGGAAGACGGCUGAAGUGGAAGCUAGAGGCUGAAGUUUCUGCUCCUUUCUGUUGUGCUGUUCUUCUUAUUCUUGGUCACUAACUCUGAGGAAAGUUAUGGCAUGAGUAGCUCCAAAGAAACAGUCACCUACUGAAGAUCUGAGGUCUCCUUCCAACAACCUGUAAGAGAGCUUGAGAAGUGAUCAUCCUAAGAGCCUUCUUAGCCAGCAGAGAUGGAGGAGGGCCUCCUGCGCUUCAAUCUGUGACAGAUCCUGAAUCCAAGACGCAACCAAUUCUUGACACUCAAAACUGUGGACAAAGAUGAACAAUGGGUGUUAAAACUGCUGGGUUUAGGAGUGAUUCCACUGAGGUUUGUAAGAGGAACAAAAGCCACACAGUGAAUAUUAGAAGAGUGGUUUGUUAGAUUGGCUGAGUAGUCAAAACCAAAAACAAAAAAACAAAAACAAACAAACAAACAAACAAAAAAGCUGUUCCCACACUGAGAGUCUGGGAAUCCAGGAACUUCAAAUCCUGGUAUGACACUGAAGAGCAGAAGAGUUGCUGGUCCUUGGUGCAUACUGGAGACCAAGAGAAUCCGAAUUCUCACAUGAGAGAAGGAAUACAGCAGCAACUGGUUAAAUCAACUCAAAAGAGGGUAGGCGAGCUCGCUGGUGAGACAGGAAGUCAAGUAGGGAAAAGGCAAAUGCUUUCUCCCCGAACUUCCUUUUAUCUUAACUGCCACCAUAUAGUCCACAUUUAGGAUGGGUUUGCUCACUUCCGCUAACCCUAUCAAGAACGUCCUCCACGGCGGUGCCCUGCUGCUUGUCUCUUAAUUGAUUCCAGAGCCAAUCAAGCCGAAGACCAAGAUCAACAAGCACACACAUCAGCAGACAAGUUUUACAUCACUACCGAAUGAUUUCGAUAUCUCUGUGAUGGUUUUUGAGGUCUUGGCUCGUGGGAAGGAAGCCUCCAUCCUCGCUCGGUGUGCAGGUAACAGGUAAAGAAGCAGCCGAGAGACUUUGUACAUGUUCUCUUGCCUCCAAGAGGACUGAUCUGUUUCCUUAGCAAGUUUCACCGACAACCUUCUCCUGUGGCCCUGAGAGAGAUACUUCUAGGGCUCUUUUCUUGACUGUAGAUAUUUCAGAGUCCCAUUGGACUCUGGAACAGGGGAGCCACCUCUCAUUGAGUCCUAAUGCUUUUUAUCAUUCCCCGCUUAGCUUUUCAUGCUAACAAACACAGUGAGACCUGUCUAGAACUAGGUGACAAAACCUUACAAAAGCUUUGGGGAAAAACACCGAUGAAAACCGACUACUACUUGUUGAGAAAUUUUAACUUAACCCUAGGCUUCCUGUGCAAUAACCUCAGAUUCUGAACUUUCAGCUCAGAAGAGAGCAGUCUGAGUCCUAACUCUGUCUGUUUUCAGUACCUAUUGCUGCAUAAGCUCUACCGUGCACUUGUUCAUCAUUGAUGGGAAAAGAAAGUUGAAAAGCAAGCUUUAUGUCUACUGGGUCCUGGGUAAAGAUCAGCGCUGGCAAAUACCAGCCUGUCAUAUUACCUUGCUCUCCUAUGUACAUUCCUUGAUGCUAGAAUGUAAUUUAAGUGAGAAAGGGCUUCUUCUGACUUGCAUUCUGAUAGGAUUAUUUCACUGUGGUUGGGAAGACAGCCAGAUAGCAAGGAAGGCAUGACAAACGGGAAGCAGGAAGCCGGCUGGGUCAUUCAUAUUACUCUUCGAGGCCCAUCCUCAGUGACCCAAUUCUUCCAGUGAGACUCUACCUUUUAAAGGUUCCAGAACUUUCCCAAAUAGCACCAUUAGCUGAAGACCAAAUAUUAGAAUAUGAGUCAAGGGGAAUAUUUCACAUUCAAGUCAACAAUACAUACUUAAAAGUACUAUUGCCCUAUGGAGACAGUGGGAAGAAAUCAUUUUCCCUACAACCUGCCAGUCAGUCAACCAGGAAAAGAAAGGAAAAAAAAAAAAAAAAAAAAAACCUCUCCCCUAUUUCCAACUUCCUCCUCCUUUCAGCCAAUAGGAAGGUCAAAAACAAAUUGAUACUCUACUCAUGAUCACAAAGCUGACAGACAAGCCCAGUCUGUAAGCACUUCUAAAAGGUCUCCUGGGGAGAUGCAAGACUUUUGCUUGCCUCUAGUUUGAAUGCUCAAUAAGAAGUAUAUUGCAUGUUCUGUCCCAUGCUUGUGAAGCCUUAGGGUGGGACCAAACUGCCUAACUAACUAUGUAUACGGUGAUAGAAGCCCCACUGCAGAAUAUCCUUGGACAAGCCAAAUGACCAAAGCGUCAUUGUCUUCA